rnacentral:rRNA from 1 species
UACGUAGGGGGCAAGCGUUGUCCGGAAUCAUUGGGCGUAAAGCGCGUGUAGGCGGCCAGAAAAGUCCGCUGUGAAAACUCGAGGCUCAACUUCGAGCUGUCGGUGGAAACUUUCUGGCUAGAGUCCGGAAGAGGAGAAUGGAAUUCCUGGUGUAGCGGUGAAAUGCGCAGAUAUCAGGAGGAACACCGGUGGCGAAGGCGGAUCUCUGGGCCAUUACUGACGCUGAGGAGCGAAAGCGUGGGGAGCGAACAGG